AAAAAAUGUUGAAAAAAAAAAAUAGAACAAACAGAUAAAAUGGACUUCAUCAAAAUGUAAAACUUUCGUGCCUUACAGGACGCCAUCAAGGAAGUUGGACGACCACCCAGAGAGGGGGAAAGAAUUGUUGCAAAUCACAUCUCUGCUGAAGGAACUGUAUCCAGAAUUUACAAAGAACUCUUACAACUCAGUAGCAAAAAGGCAAAUAACCUAAUUUAAAGACGGGCAAAGGCUCUGAAUAAGCCUUUCUCCAAAGAAGAGAGACAAAUGGCGAGUAAGCCUGUGAGAUGCUCGGCGUCACUGGUCAGGAGGGAAACACGGAACGAAUCCACCACGGGAUACUCCUUUCCACCACUAGGAUGGAAAAAAAUAGAAGGCACACACACAAAGCAGACCAUGACACGUGUGGGUGAGCAGGGGGAGAAACUGGGAGCCCCCUCCACCGCUGGCGGGGACGCCACCAGCAGAGCCAGGUGGGCAUUCUGGCACCUCCUCCAAAGGUUAAGCACAGAGUUCCCACGUGACCUGGCAACUCCACGAGAAGGAAGUACGUGCCCGAGGGAACAGUGUUAUUCAUACUCAUCAAGAAGUGGAAACAAACACCCAUCAACAGAUGAAUGGAGAAAUAAAACAUGGCAUCUGCAUACAA